UGUUUCUGAUGUUUCUUUUCCAGGCCAAAGUAAACACCACAGAGCAAAUAAGAGACAUCUCCAUGUGUCCUACAACUUGGCCCAAUACGUAGAAGGCUCUCAAUCAAUACUUGUGGAUGAAUGAUGGAGCUGCUGGUAGCAUGGCAAGACGCACGAGAUGGGGUUCCUACCCUGCUCCCCAGUUAGGAGCCGAGGCGUAGACAGAUUCUUGCAGCAGAGGGAGGAAGGGAAGCUGGAGGAAGAGGCAGAGAAGGGACAGUUGAAGGAGGAGGAGAGCCAGAGACGAAGAGACUUCCACGAAUAAGAGG
rnacentral:lncRNA from 1 species